GCGCUGGCUGCGUUUCUCUGGGAGAACAGCGGCGCUCAGAGUCCUGAGAAGUUACUGCACCCACUAUGUGUGCAAUGGAAAACACGAGCACUGAUGCCCAUACAAACAAUCUCUUCUGGCACUUUGUAUGGAAGCCCAAAGUGAAGUGGUUCAGACAUCUUCAAUUCUACCUGCCCAUCAACCCAGCAGAAGUUCUCUCCCCAAAGGUGAGGAGUUUAGAGGUUCACAUUUUUUAUACGGAGAACAGGUUGUUCACGACCACUUAUGUCACUAUGCCUCCAAAGUGUGGAACUUUUCAAAGAUUUUAUAUUUUGUCUUCAAAGACUUUAUAUCAGACAAUUAGAGACAGAGACUGAGUGCAAAAGGCAGUGACAGUUCAUUUGCUUUCUUGGAAAUUCAUUCUUUUUCAAUGUAGAGGAAAAAAGAUUAGGAAAGAGUACAAUUUGAGCUCCAAGAAAAGAUAAAUAAA